UACGUAGGGACCGAGCGUUGUCCGGAAUCAUUGGGCGUAAAGAGCGUGUAGGCGGCCAAUUAAGUCCUGCUUGAAAUCUCGGGGCUCAACCCCGAGCGGUCGUGGGAAACUGGUUGGCUAGAGUGCGGGAGAGGAGAGUGGAAUUCCUGGUGUAGCGGUGAAAUGCGCAGAUAUCAGGAAGAACACCCGUGGCGAAGGCGGCUCUCUGGAACGCAACUGACGCUGAGACGCGAAAGCGUGGGGAGCAAACAGG
rnacentral:rRNA from 1 species